rnacentral:rRNA from 1 species
UAGGGAAUCUUCCACAAUGGGCGAAAGCCUGAUGGAGCAACGCCGCGUGUGUGAUGAGGGGGUUUCGGCUCGUAAAACACUGUUGUAAGAGAAGAAUGACAUUGAGAGUAACUGUUCAAUGUGUGACGGUAUCUUACCAGAAAGGAACGGCUAAAUACGUGCCAG